AUUUUUCUUUUUAAACGUUCUGUGUUUACACAACUGUCCAUCCCUGAAUUGUCUCCCUAGCUUAUCUUUUCCUAGCCUCUGUUCCUGGGGAGGAAAACGUCCUGCAAGAAUCAUCAAGCUACACCACCACAAACAACCCAGUAAAUCAGGUUUUCCACAUGUUUGUUUCAGGUCACAGAACCAGUUUAAACUGCAUCCCUUUUGAAUGGGGCCAGACUCACACGAGGAGUGGUGACUGUACGAGUUAAUGUGGUUUUACUACCCAGAAGGUGAGAUUUAGCUGUCAUUUUAGAGCUCAUUUAAAACAUUCUCUAUAACUUCCUUCUAGUGUUUCUAAGAUUCUAUUUUGUAGAGUAGUUACAAUUUUGGAUUUAAGAUCCUCCCUUUUGAGCCUUUGUAAGCUAGUGUAGAGGUUCAUGAUGUGUGAUGAGUUAUAAUUUUUCUGAGGCCCAAAUUUGAGCCUCACGUGCUGUUGGAAUGG
rnacentral:lncRNA from 1 species